UUGCUCGCUUCGGCAGCACAUAUACUAAAAUUGGAAUGAAACAGAUUAACAUGGCCCCUGCGCAAGGAUGACACGCAAAUUCGUGAAGCGUUACAUAUUUUU